GAGCUAGAUAGCAUAGCAAGAAGGGCCAAGGAGAAAGCGGUGGUUGAUUCGCCAUGAGCAGCGGGCGCGAGAGCAGGUGGGAGCUCCCGGCGACGCUGCGUGCGCUGGCGCGCGACGCCGGCCAGCAGCUGCGGGUACCCCGCGCGGCCGCGGCCGCGGCCACGCCGGCGGCAACGGCGGGGCGGCGCGCGGCGGACGGCGGCGGCAAGGCGGACAAGGUGAUGCACCUGCUGCUUUGGGGGCCCAAGUGAUCG
rnacentral:misc_RNA from 1 species